AGAUUUCAUUGUACACGUUAGUUA
rnacentral:snRNA from 1 species